rnacentral:rRNA from 1 species
UACGUAGGGUGCAAGCGUUGUCCGGAAUUAUUGGGCGUAAAGAGCUCGUAGGCGGCUUGUCACGUCGACUGUGAAAACCCGGGGCUCAACUCCGGGCCUGCAGUCGAUACGGGCUGGCUUGAGUGCGGUAGGGGAGACUGGAAUUCCCGGUGUAGCGGUGAAAUGUGUAGAGAUCGGGAGGAACACCGGUGGCGAAGGCGGGUCUCUGGCCACACCCUGACGCUGAGGCGCGAAAGCGUGGGGAGCAAACGGG